rnacentral:rRNA from 1 species
UACGGGGGGGGCAAGCGUUGUUCGGAAUUACUGGGCGUAAAGGGCUCGUAGGCGGCCAACUAAGUCAGACGUGAAAUCCCCAGGCUCAACCUGGGAACUGCGUCUGAUACUGGAUGGCUUGAAUUCGGGAGAGGGAUGCAGAAUUCCAGGUGUAGCGGUGAAAUGCGUAGAUAUCUGGAGGAAUACCGGUGGCGAAGGCGGCAUCCUGGACCGGCAUUGACGCUGAGGCGCGAAAGCUAGGGGAGCAAACGGG